ensembl:lncRNA
UGCUCUUACCCAAGUUAACUGAUUUUACGGGAUUCUACGUGUUUAUUUUGGGGAUAUUUUCAGGAAAAAUAUCUGGAGCCAGGAUCACCUAGCAUUAAAUGGUGGCUGUUCACAGGAGCCUGAAAAACCUUUCUCAGCUGUGUUUGAAAUGACCUUUUUAUUCAUUUGUGAGGACAUCAAGGAAUCAGUUUGCCUCUAUCCUCAGUCCUGCCGCCAGCAGGUAUUGCCAAGGAAAUGACCCAGACAACAUCAAGACAAAUCUAUGCUGAAGUGCAAGGUAAAAAUGCCUACCAGCAUAAAGAGCUGGACUCUGAGUAUGUUUCUGGACUCAAACCCAAGGCUUUUGUUCCCAGAAGAUUCACUUCCCAUCAGUACAUAGUGAAGCUUCAAGCCUGUGCAGUGAGGCUGUCUCAGCUGGGCUCAAGGCCUGAGGAGGAGCCUCAGGCUCCAGGCCUCUUUCUGAUGGGAGAUUCGGCUGUUCGGCAGUCCCCAGUGGGGACGAGAGUCAUGCCUGGCUCCUCACAAGGCCCUGUGGCCUCUGAGAACUGAGACAGCAAAAAUAUAAUGUUCAAAACCAAGUAUCCUUGAAAGCUGUUGGGUUGUAGCACCCUAGAAGAAUCCCCACCCUCGGGUGCCCAGUCCGUAGUGAGAAAGGCUAAAAACGCAGAUUGACAGAUCAAAGCAGCAGCCACCAUACCAUGGACAAGUACUUUGACAGAUGGCUUUGUGUGGAAUAUGGCGGCUGUCCUGCUGUGUUGGAAGAACUACGUUCAAUUUAAAUGUCUGGAUUUCCAGUCGAAAGGUUUUGUAGGAAAUAAGUAAGCAGUUUAGUGCAAGAAAUAAGCAGAAAACUCUCCGCUGUGCACAGUAUUUACAAAUCAUUUUUCGGUCGUUUGAUAUUUAAUUGAAUUUUUAUUCUUGCAUCAAGAAUAUGGAGACCAGAAGUCAAAUUAAAUGACUGAUGCCGGCCGGUAUGCACUGCUGGGGCAGAACAACUUUUUUUCUCUGAUGAAAGGUACCUAUUUCAGCUACUUUGGCAGCUCCAAAGUUCAUCUGCCAGCAUGCAGGGCUGUUUCCAUUGGCAUCUGCCGGCUUUGGAUAAGGCUUGCACAGCAAAUCCCCUAUCCACAGCAGGGCAAGGGCAGGCAGGCCUUUACAAUGAGGUUACUUCUCAACUCUAGGAGCAUGCUAUGUAAUGAGAAUUCAAAGCAGCAGCAGAACAUUAUUGAACAGCACGCCUAACACACUGCUAUUACUUACCAUCUGGUAAAAAUUAAAUUUCAUUAAUAAAUAUUAUUAUUUACUGUGGAUUUCAGGAGCCUGUGGGAGCCACAGGAAAAUCUAUCCGAGCAGCAGCAAGUUCUCUGAUGGUCUUCAUAAUGGCCUCUUUACAAAGUCCAAAUAAUUUUCCUGUUCAGUACUAUCCAAGCAACAAAAAUGUUCAGAGCAGGAAUAUAUAUUUCAUUCUGUACAGUGUUUCUUAGAGAAUUCAUCAGCUGAAUUUAUCUGGUGAGCACAGAACAUCAUCAUAUUAAAAGGAUGACCCCCUCCGCUACACCAGCUAACCCAUGUUGCUUUGUGUGACAUCAGUGGAUUAGAAAUGUUGCUUUUAUCCACUAACAACAGCAUCAAGCUUCUA